AUGUCUACUCGGAGUUUGGUGUCUUGAACACUGGGCUCUCAAGCUAACGCAUUAAGUAGACCGCCUGGGGAGUACGGCCGCAAGGUUAAAACUCAAAUGAAUUGACGGGGGCCCGCACAAGCGGUGGAGCAUGUGGUUUAAUUCGAUGCAACGCGAAGAACCUUACCUACUCUUGACAUCCACAGAAGCCAGUAGAGAUACAGGUGUGCCUUCGGGAACUGUGAGACAGGUGCUGCAUGGCUGUCGUCAG
rnacentral:rRNA from 1 species